AUACGGAGGGUGCGAACGUUAAUCGGAAUUACUGGGCGUAAAGCGCGCGUAGGCGGCUUUGUAAGUCGGAUGUGAAAGCCCUGGGCUCAACCUGGGAAUGGCAUUCGAUACUGCAGAGCUAGAGUAUGGUAGAGGGAAGUGGAAUUUCCGGUGUAGCGGUGAAAUGCGUAGAUAUCGGAAGGAACACCAGUGGCGAAGGCGACUUCCUGGGCCAAUACUGACGCUGAGGUGCGAAAGCGUGGGGAGCAAACAGGAUUAGAAACCCCGGUAGUCC
rnacentral:rRNA from 1 species